rnacentral:rRNA from 1 species
CUGGUUCAUCCUGCCAGUAGUCAUAUGCUUGUCUCAAAGAUUAAACCAUGCAUGUCUGAGUAUAAGCAAUCUAUACAGUGAAACUGCGAAUGGCUCAUUAAAUCAGUUAUCGUUUAUUUGAUAGUACCUUACUACUUGGAUAACCGUGGUAAUUCUAGAGCUAAUACAUGCUAAAAACCUCGACUUCGGAAGGGGUGUAUUUAUUAGACAAAAAACCAAUGCCCUUCGGGGCUCCUUGGUGAUUCAUGAUAACUUAACGAAUCGCAUGGCCUUGUGCCGGCGAUGGUUCAUUCAAAUUUCUGCCCUAUCAACUUUCGAUGGUAGGAUAGUGGCCUACCAUGGUUUCAACGGGUAACGGGGAAUUAGGGUUCUAUUCCGGAGAGGGAGCCUGAGAAACGGCUACCACAUCCAAGGAAGGCAGCAGGCGCGCAAAUUACCCAAUCCCGACACGGGGAGGUAGUGACAAUAAAUACUGAUACAGGGCUCUUUUGGGUCUUGUAAUUGGAAUGAGUACAAUUUAAAUCCCUUAACGAGGAACAAUUGGAGGGCAAGUCUGG